rnacentral:rRNA from 1 species
CUACGGGCCGCUCCAGUGGGGAAUAUUGCACAAUGGGCGAAAGCCUGAUGCAGCGACGCCGCGUGGAGGAUGACGGUUUUCGGAUUGUAAACUCCUGUUAAGAGGGAAGAAAGAGGCUUGGUUAAUACCCAGGCAAGAUGACGGUACCUCUAAAGAAAGCUCCGGCUAACUUCGUGCCAGCAGCCGCGGUAAUACGAAGGGAGCAAGCGUUAUUCGGAAUUACUGGGCGUAAAGGGCGCGUAGGCGGACUAUUAAGUCAGUUGUUAAAUCCCAUGGCUUACCCAUGGAUCAGCAAUUGAUACUGAUGGCCUAAGAGGGCGAGAGAGAGAAGUGGAAUUCUCGGAGUAGCGGUAAAAUGCGUAGAUCUCGAGAGGAACACCGAUGGCGAAGGCAGCUUCUUGGCUCGUACCUGACGCUGAGGCGCGAAAGCGUGGGGAGCAAACAGGAUUAGAUACCCCAGUAGUC